rfam:Mus musculus chromosome 10, GRC primary reference assembly.
AGAUAGAUGGCUCAGCAGUUAAGAGCACUGACUGUUGUUCCAGAGGUCCUGAGUUCAAUUCCCAGCCAUCUC